GGAUUAGAUACCCUGGUAGUCCACGCCCUAAACGAUGAUUACUCGACAUACGCGAUACACAGUGUGUGUCUGAGCGAAAGCAUUAAGUAAUCCACCUGGGAAGUACGACCGCAAGGUUGAAACUCAAAGGAAUUGACGGGGGUCCGCACAAGCGGUCGAGCAUGUGGUUUAAUUCGAUGAUACGCGAGGAACCUUACCUGGGCUAGAAUGCUGCUUGACUGUACCUGAAAGGGUAUUUUAUAGCAAUAUACAAGUAGCAAGGUGCUGCAUGGCUGUCGUCAGCUCGUGCCG
rnacentral:rRNA from 1 species